rnacentral:lncRNA from 1 species
CUGUUCUAUUGCAUUAUUCGCACAUUUACUGAUUUCAGCAAGUCAACAUGGCGGCUCCUUGGUAACAACAUGUCAACAGUGAAUUUGACGGUAGCUUACGAUAAAAAAUGUAAAUUUAAAAUUGCAAAUGUUGGGUUUACUGAGAAGUAAAAAAAGUAAUCACAUUUUUUUUCUAGCCGUUAGUUAAGAAAUCAUUCAUGCAGGUUUAUUAGAUUUGUUUUACAUUUAUCGAACAGUGGGUAAAAUAGAACAGCCACACACACGG